rnacentral:pre_miRNA from 1 species
AGUGGGAUAGCUGGGUCAUAUGGUGAUUCUAUUCCUAGUCUUUUGAGGAAUCUCCAUAUUCCUUUCCAAAAUGGUUGUACUAAUUUGCAGUCCCACCAACAAU